rnacentral:lncRNA from 1 species
CUUCGAACCCCCUACAUGGAACUAUCCGAGUGGUAAGGUUCAAAAGUUUGAUGUCUAGACAAGGAGCCGGCCUUAGUAGCAGCCUGAGGAACAUCCUUGAACCCGGCUUGGGGAGGAGACAACCAAGAACUCUGACUACCUCGAUGAUUCUUGCCCUUGAUCUCACUACUGGAUUGGAAUGGAAAGAAUAGAAAAAGCUAUGAAAUAAGAAAGCCGAACAAGCAGAGAGCA